AUUUCCUUUUCCCUUUAGAUCUCUGAAGAUAAUUCUCCAGUUUGAUUAUAAGCAUCCUGAGGACAGAGAUUAUAUGUUCUAGGUCCUCUGCCUCCCCACAGAACUUAGGAGAAAGCCAAAGAGAUGUGAAUUGGUUGUUAACAAGAUGUCAUAGCAUUCAGUCAGUUUCAUUUCCAAGUUUUCUGCUGCUGCAAUCUGAGGCAGAUAACAAGUUACAGAUUCCCAAAGUCUGCCCUCCAAUGAAGAUCAUAAGUAACUGGAAGAACAGGGAUGCGCCUUAUAACUUAGAAGGAGACCAUAUCUUACCGUCCGUAUUCACCUAAUCCGGUUCUCAG
rnacentral:lncRNA from 1 species